GUGGAUUAGAUACCCUGGUAGUCCUAGCCGUAAACGGUGCAUAUUUGCUGUAAAAGGAAUCGACCCCUUUUGUGGCGUAGCCAACGCGUUAAAUAUGCCGCCUGGGAAGUACGGUCGCAAGAUUAAAACUCAAAGAAAUUGACGGGGGCCUGCACAAGCGGUGGAGUAUGUGGCUUAAUUCGAUGCAACGCGAAGAACCUUACCUGGCCUUGACAUGCAAGUAGUAGAACCAUGAAAGUGGGACGAGGUAGCAAUACCAGCUUGCACAGGUGCUGCAUGGCCGUCGCCAGCU
rnacentral:rRNA from 1 species